CAUUGAUUGUGAUCCUUCACCAUUUUGCAAAGUGACACCAUGCAACCCUCUCACAGACAGAGCUGGAUUUGAACUCACAACAGAACCCCCAGCCCAGGAUCUGAGGUGUCCCAUGUUGAGUUCAGAAAGAAUCGUCCAGAUUGUCAACUACACAUUUCAGCAAAUUUAUUAUGCUCAUUAAAAUGAAUCAAUAGGCC
rnacentral:lncRNA from 1 species